GGGAGAGGGACCUAUUUAAAGCUACCCUGUUGCUCACUGUCUCUGUCUGUCUGCCGGGGUCUCUGGCGCCCCAGACCGGUGGUGUGAGCUCGGGAUCCUCCUGGUGACCUCUCCAGUCAAGGUCCCGCAGCCACUCUGCCCCAAGAUGGGCCGUGGGGCCGGCCGCGAGUACUCCCCUGCAGCCACCACUGCAGAAAAUGGAGGCGGCAAGAAGAAACAGAAGGAGAAGGAGCUGGAUGAGCUGAAGAAGGAGGUGGCCAUGGAUGACCACAAGCUGUCCUUGGAUGAGCUGGGCCGCAAGUACCAAGUGGAUCUGUCCAAGGGCCUCACCAACCAGAGGGCCCAGGACAUUCUGGCUCGGGAUGGGCCCAACGCCCUCACCCCGCCCCCAACAACCCCGGAGUGGGUCAAGUUCUGUCGCCAGCUUUUCGGGGGUUUCUCCAUCCUGCUGUGGAUCGGGGCCAUCCUCUGCUUCCUGGCCUAUGGCAUCCAGGCUGCCAUGGAGGAUGAACCAUCCAAUGACAACCUCUACCUGGGUGUGGUGCUGGCAGCUGUGGUCAUUGUCACGGGCUGCUUCUCCUACUACCAGGAAGCCAAGAGCUCCAAGAUCAUGGAUUCUUUCAAGAACAUGGUGCCUCAGCAAGCCCUCGUGGUGCGGGAAGGAGAGAAGAUGCAGAUCAACGCAGAGGAGGUGGUGGUGGGAGACCUGGUGGAGGUCAAGGGUGGAGACCGCGUGCCGGCCGACCUCCGGAUCAUCUCCUCUCAUGGCUGUAAGGUGGAUAACUCAUCACUGACAGGCGAGUCAGAGCCUCAGACCCGCUCCCCCGAGUUCACCCACGAGAACCCGCUGGAGACCCGCAAUAUCUGUUUCUUCUCUACCAACUGUGUGGAAGGCACUGCCAGAGGCAUCGUGAUUGCCACCGGUGACCGCACGGUGAUGGGCCGCAUAGCCACUCUGGCCUCAGGCUUGGAGGUUGGGCGGACACCCAUAGCCAUGGAGAUUGAGCACUUCAUCCAGCUGAUCACAGGGGUAGCUGUGUUCCUGGGGGUCUCCUUCUUCGUGCUGUCCCUUAUCCUGGGCUACAGCUGGCUGGAGGCUGUUAUCUUCCUCAUCGGCAUCAUCGUGGCCAAUGUGCCUGAGGGUCUGCUGGCCACUGUCACGGUGUGUUUGACCCUGACGGCCAAGCGCAUGGCUCGGAAGAACUGCCUGGUGAAGAACCUGGAGGCGGUGGAGACGCUGGGCUCCACCUCCACCAUCUGUUCAGACAAGACGGGCACCCUCACCCAGAACCGCAUGACCGUCGCCCAUAUGUGGUUUGACAACCAGAUCCAUGAGGCUGACACCACGGAAGAUCAGUCUGGGGCUACGUUUGACAAACGAUCCCCCACGUGGACGGCCCUGUCCCGGAUUGCUGGUCUCUGCAACCGUGCUGUCUUCAAGGCUGGGCAGGAGAACAUCUCUGUGUCUAAGCGGGAUACAGCCGGUGAUGCCUCCGAGUCAGCUCUGCUCAAGUGCAUUGAACUGUCCUGUGGGUCCGUGAGGAAGAUGAGGGAUAGAAACCCCAAGGUGGCAGAGAUCCCUUUCAACUCAACCAACAAGUAUCAGCUGUCCAUCCACGAGCGAGAAGACAACCCCCAGAGCCAUGUGCUGGUGAUGAAGGGGGCCCCCGAGCGCAUCCUGGACCGGUGCUCCUCCAUCUUGGUGCAGGGCAAAGAGAUCCCUCUGGACAAGGAGAUGCAGGACGCCUUCCAGAACGCCUACCUGGAGCUGGGAGGACUGGGCGAGCGUGUGCUGGGCUUCUGUCAACUGAAUCUGCCCUCUGGAAAGUUUCCUCGGGGCUUCAAGUUCGACACAGAUGAGCUGAACUUUCCCACGGAGAAGCUCUGCUUCGUGGGGCUCAUGUCCAUGAUUGACCCUCCACGGGCUGCCGUGCCAGAUGCUGUGGGCAAGUGCCGGAGUGCAGGCAUCAAGGUGAUCAUGGUGACUGGGGACCACCCUAUCACAGCCAAGGCCAUUGCCAAAGGUGUGGGCAUCAUUUCAGAGGGCAAUGAGACUGUGGAGGACAUUGCUGCCCGGCUCAACAUUCCUGUCAGCCAGGUCAACCCCAGAGAAGCCAAGGCGUGUGUGGUGCACGGCUCUGACCUGAAGGACAUGACGUCAGAGCAGCUGGAUGAAAUCCUCAAGAACCACACAGAGAUCGUCUUUGCCCGGACGUCUCCUCAGCAGAAGCUCAUCAUCGUGGAGGGCUGUCAGAGGCAGGGAGCCAUUGUGGCGGUGACGGGGGACGGGGUGAACGACUCCCCUGCGCUGAAGAAGGCGGACAUCGGCAUCGCCAUGGGCAUCGCCGGCUCUGACGUGUCUAAGCAGGCGGCCGACAUGAUCCUGCUGGACGACAACUUUGCCUCCAUCGUCACGGGUGUGGAGGAGGGCCGCCUGAUCUUUGACAACCUGAAGAAAUCCAUCGCCUACACCCUGACCAGCAACAUCCCCGAGAUCACCCCCUUCCUGCUCUUCAUCAUCGCCAACAUCCCCCUGCCUCUGGGCACCGUGACCAUCCUCUGCAUUGACCUGGGCACCGACAUGGUCCCUGCCAUCUCCUUGGCCUAUGAGGCGGCUGAGAGCGACAUCAUGAAACGGCAGCCGAGGAACCCGCAGACUGACAAGCUGGUGAAUGAGAGACUCAUCAGCAUGGCCUAUGGACAGAUCGGGAUGAUCCAGGCACUGGGUGGCUUCUUCACCUACUUCGUGAUCCUGGCAGAGAACGGCUUCCUGCCUUCACGGCUACUGGGAAUCCGCCUUGAUUGGGAUGACCGAUCCAUGAAUGACCUGGAGGACAGCUAUGGACAGGAGUGGACCUAUGAGCAGCGGAAGGUGGUGGAGUUCACGUGCCACACGGCCUUCUUUGCCAGCAUCGUGGUCGUGCAGUGGGCGGACCUCAUCAUCUGCAAGACCCGCCGCAACUCAGUCUUCCAGCAGGGCAUGAAGUGAGCGCCGCCCACCGGCCCCGCCCACUGCACAGAGCGCGUCGCCACUCCCACCUCACCCCCAACCUAGAUCUGCUAGGGUUGUAGUUGCCCAGCGGUAUAUCCGUAUCCGUGUUGGAAGUAGAUGCAAGGAGAGGAAGAAAGGCCAUGACUAUUUCUGAUGGGUUUUAAUUUUGCUCCUAAAAUCUCCUUCAUUAUGGUCUCCUUUCAUCUUCUUUCCUUUUCCUCUUCUCCCUUCCCUCUUCCUCCCUGCCUCCCUCCGUCGUGCACUUUAAUGACCCCACCCUUGGCCCCACCCCCACCUUUGGCCCCGCCCUAAAUACGUGGUCUCCUGUGCUCCGCUCCACUCAGCAGGUAGCUGCAGUUUGUAGCGCUUGUCUUGUGGUGAUGGUGGUGGUGCAAGCUGCCCAGAGUCAAGUUCAGGGCCCUCUUAUAGUGUGAUUUACUGAUCAGAGACAUUAUCAAACCUCACAAUAGCUCUGCGAGGUGGAUAUGAUUUUCAUUUUACGGAUAAGGGACCCCAGAAAAGGUUAAAUGGCGUGCCCGAGGUCACCCAGCUGGGAAUGGUUCACCCAGCCCUGUCCCCAAAGCCCAAGCUCGCGGCUACUACACGGGGGGGGCUCGCCUGUCACAGAACCUGGCACCUGGAGGGUACUCAGUGAUUCGUCUGCGAUUCCAGCCUGGAUGGCAGUUAGUGCUGAAGGAACAAGAUUCUGAUUUUUGGGCUCCUGGAGGAGACAGCACUGGCGGCCUUUCUGUCUUACUGCCCGGGCAUGGGUGUGGCCCUCCGCAUGUACCCCCUCAAGGUCACCUGGUGGUUCUGCGCCUUCCCCUACAGCCUCCUCAUCUUCAUCUACGAUGAGGUCCGCAAGUUGAUCCUGCGACGAUAUCCUGGGGGCUGGGUGGAGAAGGAGACAUACUACUGAGCCCAUUGGAAGGACGAACCAGGCACGGGAAAGAUGGGGUGGCCCGGAAGUGUUGGGGAGGGUGGAAGACCCUGGGGUGGUACUGGAGGUGUGGGGGAGAAGACGUGGGGAGAGAGAAGGAGGCCACACAGCAGGCAGGGUUGGGGGAGUGGGUCACUCGGCCUGAGGUGGUUGCUCAGAGGCCUAACCCAGAGCCAUCAGCUUAGACACCACGUGUCAGGGGCCCCUCCCCAGACCCUGCUGCACUCUACCUCUCUGAGGAAUUGAGGGGUACCCCAGCCCUCCCCAGUCCCUUCCCCCUGCCCACCUCCCACUAGAACAGAUCAAGGGGAAUGGCAGGAACCUGUCUAAACUGGGAGGAGGGCAACUGUCUCAGAUCACCAGUGUCUCUUUAGCCCUCCAGCCUCACCCCACUUCCCACCUUCACCCCCCCUUUGCUUCCUACCCAACUCUGUCCCCUGCCACUCCCCCACCCCACCCCCCCACCCCACCCCCCGUGACCAGGAAAUCACAAACAGUCCCUCCGGGUGAGUGCCAGGGCCUGCCGCCAGAAAGGGAAGCUGGCUGGAGAGGAAGCGCCAGAGGAGAGCUGGGUGGACAGGUGGGAGGGUGGGGUGUGGCGGAGGAGGGGGACAGGAAAGGAGAAAUGACGUCAAUGACAGGACGUCGGACACAGGUGUCUGGGCUCCAGCUUUGUGUCCUGCCCUUUAGAGCCCUCUGCCAGCAGACCAAAUUCCCAUGUCACCAGAAUAGCCACAGAGGCGGGACCAGGAAGCCAUCCCAGGAGCUUCACUGCGAUGCUGUACCCACGUGCUCCUGGCAUUUCCCACUGCCCCUUGGUUUGUGGUCUUUUGGUCCCCGAGGCCCAGGUGUCACAGACACUUUGGCUUUCUCUACCACUCGCUCUUGGUCACACCUGCCCUUUAGAUCACUGUGUCCUUAGAAGUUCCAGGUAGCGCUGAGAGGGAUGCUUCCAGCGCUCCCCUAUCCCCUACUCCCCCCAACCUCGCUUCACGCCCUUCCAGAUGAGCCUGUGUCACUCCCAGGCACUGCCAAGCAAGCCCGGGAAAAGCAGGUCCCUGGCCAUCAGCUAGAAUUGGGAUGGAGAAGUUCUCAGAAACUUCCCCUCUUCCAGGAACAUACAGAAUCAGCUUAGGUCGUGGACAUGGUUAGAAGCUCUGGACAAUAAGAGGGAAAGAGGCGUUCCCGUCAUGACUCAGUGGUUAACAAAUCCAACUAGUAUCCGUGAGGAUGAGGGUUCGAUCCCUGGCCUCGCUCAGUGGGUUAAGGAUCCGGUGUUGCCGUGAGCUGUGGUGUAGGUCGCAGAUGCAGCUGAGAUCCCACGUUGCUGUGGUUGUGCCAUAGGCCGGCAGCUGUAGCUCCAAUUCAGCCCCUAGCCUGGGAACCUCCAUAUGCCACAAAUGCAGCCCACAAAAGACAGAAAUAAUAAUAAUAACAAUAAGAAGAAGGAAAGCAUUAGGAGACCUGCCCUUGACCUCUCAGAGGGCAGGGCUGUUCCUCCCAAGCAAACACCCUUCCCGAUAAUGAUCACAGUGCCCACUUCCCCUGAGGUUCCUGCAGGAAGAUGUUUUUCCUUCCGGAGCUCGCUCCCCAUCUGCACCUUGCUCUGCAGGCAGCUCUGCCCAUUCUCUAAGCCCGGCUUAGAAGGCGUUGGGACUGUCCUGUAGCAAGACACCUAGAUGAACCAAGCAAGGGAGAGGGACCCCUAAGGAAAAUGGAAGACCGAAGGCAGAAAGGAAGGAAGCACAAAAGACAAACAUCAGGCCCCUAAACAACCUCCCAAGGGCUCUUACUUCAUUGCACUGGAAUUCUGCUUUAUCAGAAGUGCCUUGAAAUAAUGCGUCGUUGCCUUGGGCUUGGAAAACGAAAUGGGAAACCAUUUUACAUGGGGCCCGAUUCAUUUGAGAUUUAUUGACCGUGAACAAAAGUUUAUCUUUACACAAUCAAUAAAAAUGGCAUUUGUUUAGUAAAUUAAGAGUAUCAACAAUAUUGCUAGGGGUGGCAUAUGUAGUCUCUUAAAUGAUACUUUUUGGGCACUUUAGGACUAUCCAUUUAGAAAUAGUGAAUGCAUGGGCUAGUUAUCAUCAGUUCUUAUGUAUUUGUUAGAUAAACAUCUGCAAGGCCUUUACUUGGCGACCUUUUGUAAGACAUUAGUCUGAGACACUAUGUAUGUACUUGAAAAUAAUAAAGUUGCAUUUCUUUAUGAAAGAA